rnacentral:lncRNA from 1 species
GGGUGAGACUUCUCCUUUUUUUCAAUGUCCUGUACAAAGAAUAUAAAGUAGUGCAACAAAGAGGGUUAUAUUACACGAAUAGCAAUAUAUUGCACUAUUCCAAAAGUAUCGAUGUAAUAUCAACUUACACGUUUAGUUACACGAGCCGUUUUACUGUCCACCGCCUCCGCCGCAGCUGCCGAAGUCGGUGCCGCCGCCACCACCUGUACCUUCGCGGCUGCCUCCUUCGCAGCCUCAUCCGCCGCCUUCGCCUCCUCCUUCUCCUCCGCCGCCUUCGCCUCCUCCUUUACGGCCGGCGCCGUCGCCUCCUCCUUCUCCGCCGCCGCAGUCGCCUCCUCUUUCUCCUCCGCCGCCGUGGCCUCCUCCUUCUCCUCCGCCGCCGUCNAAUUUCUUUAUAACAAAGGUAAUGAGAAUUACAUAUGUACACCAAUUCGUCUUAGUGUGAAAAAAAUGACAGUACAAAUAAAAGAACUGUAACUCGAAUCAGCCUUGAAUUAUUACGAGUAAAAAAGACGCAAGAAUUCUGCUGCUAUCUCGCCGCGUCUCCUCGUCAUAUUCUUCUGGGAGAAGUCCAAGUUCCACCCCUUCUACAAGUAUUCCUCGUAUGCUAACAGGAAGAUUGCGCAGUCAUUGGACUGAUCUUGAAUCGGGAUGUCUUCCAUAUUGAUCUUCUCCCAGUCGACGGGACGGGUACCGCGGCGCCCAAACAAAUCGAAAAAUUUUUGUUGCAAAUAAUUUCCUAUGAACUUACACUGCAUAGAAAUCAUUGCACUAAUUAGAAAUAUAAUGGGGUAAUGCUGGUACAAUUUCAAAGUAUUAGGAAACACUUACUGCUUUUUCAAACCCCACGUUGUAUUUAGGGUUUUUAAUGGACGAUAAGUGGAGGUACUUCCCGUCUUGGAGAUCAACAGCCAGCAAAUGCCAGUGUUGGAAGUCGAAGAGCGGGAUGAACCAGUACUUCGCCUCACUGAUCCUCUCCUCGGUGAUGUCGUCCAAAAAUAUCUCGGGGCUCAUUGCAGUCCCUAGGGUCUUAUAAAGGAAUGUCGUGGAGUAUAUGCACCUGUGGCCUUCCACCUCCUUGAGUAAAUUCUGGUAGCCGUCAAUAACAUCGGAGCUGACGAAGGCCAUAUGACUUGUUAGGUCAACCAAGUCCUUCCUCCCGACGUCAAUACCUUUCGAAGCCACUACUAAUGCGGAGGGGGUGGUGCUUGUUAGGAAUUUUUCAAUUCGCUCCUGAUCCUCCUUCGGCAACUCGCCCUUGCCGUAAUACUUUAAAUCCAGUGGCGGUGAUGAUUUUGCGACAUUCAAUUUGAGUAUUUUGCCCUUUAUAAAUUUUGAUGUUUCAUCCGAGGAGGGGGGGAUGUCGAUGAUUAUUGGAUGCUGUUUAGCAAAAAAUGAAAGAAUCAGAUCGUAAUUACACCAUUGUAGGACAUUCUUACACUAUUAUAAGCUGUAUCGCAUUAAUGAAAUGUAACGUUGCAAUAUUCACGCACCUCUAUAAUGCUGGGUUCUUGCAUGGAAGACUUCGCAAUUUGUGUAGGUGCCUUCGUCGCCGUCGAGAGACGCACCAAGCGUCUCUUCGGGCGAGGCUUGUCCAUUUUUUCAAUGUCCUGUACAAAGAAUUUAAAGUAGUGCAACAAACAAGGUUAUAUUACAGGAAUAGCAAUAUAUUGCAUGAUUUCAAAGGUAUCGAUGUAAUAUCAACUUACACGUUUAGAUGCCCGAGUCGCCUUACUGUGUAUCGAAAUCUCCUUGUCCACCUCCUCCGCCGGAGCUGCCGCCGCCAACACCUUUUCCUUCGCGGCCGCCUCCUUCGCAGCCUCCUCCGCCGCCUUCGCCUUCUCCUUUUCCUCAUCCUCCGCUGGCACUGCAGCAGCCUCCACCUUUUCCUCCGCCACAGCCUCCACUUCCGCCUCUACCGCAACAUUUUCCACCUCAUCUGCCGCUCCCGCCGCUUUCUUUUCAUCCACCUUCGCCACGAAUGUUACCGGCGCCGUGUCCGGUUCCGCCGCCUCGGUUGCCGCCGGCUCCUCUUUCGGCGGAACGUGUGUUACCGUCGCUGCCACCGGAGCCCCUGCCGCCGGCACCUCUGGUAGUGAAGAUAACCGGGGCACGUCUUCACAUAUUUGGAUGACGAUGUUAUGCAGCUAAAUUUAAAAAAAUUUAAAAUUGGCGUCAAUUACACUAAUUAUUUAGAUAUUACACUAUUUAAUUACCUUUUACACUAUUACUUACUCCUUUUACACUAUUACUUACUUCAUCGCUUUUCAUAAAGGAGUCUCCUGCGAAAAGACCAGCUUUUGGACGGUCAUAUUCUUCGCUCCGUCUCGACUGCGAAGCCUGCAUACCAAAAAAGCGAUUAUAUGUUACACUACACAAGUAUAUGAUGCACUAUUACAAAGAAAUUUAUACAAAUACAGAACUAAAACAAGAGUUUAUUAAUCGAAGUCUGGUACCGUUACAUUAUUAUUGAGAUGAAAUUUACGAAUCAAUCGUUUGUUUACAAUGUAAACUAAUAAGGGCGUCACAUACGUCGGCG